CUGCGGACUGUGAAGUUGGGGUAUAGGGCGUUAGCUUCUCUUGGCACUCGGCCAAAACGGCAGGGAAUGAAGUAAUACAGUGCGUCGCUACGUUCAGGGUUACGUAUUUUGUGUUCCUUUAUUUUAUGUGCAGUUCAAGGCUAUCAUCCGCCCCGUCCCCCCGUUUAUAGGAAAUCUUAAAUGUUUUCCGGAUAAAGCCGCCUGUUAAAUUACAUUUUACACCAGCUCGAUAAUCCUGUCAGACACUUCGUUUAAUUUGUGAGAAGUAAAUGACCCAAAGAGAAUAAAUAGAUGGGGUCCAUAUGUACAUAUGCAUUCUCAUUGGUUAGCUACAAAUUGAGACAGAUUUAAUAUUCUAUUCAUUCAUUUUCACACCGUGUCUGGUUUCCGCUCAAUUUGCGCCUGUUAAGCACUCCAAUGCAGUAGGGCUGCUCAAAAUAAAAAAAGCCAGGGCAAACAUCAAAAGCUGACCACACGCUGACCAUGGCAGAACUCUCGCAGAGGCUCUUGGAGCCCGUGCCAACAAACUGGUUUCCCCACGAUUUGGCGCUUCUUCUUCCCCAUACCGGUGGUACACACGAGCAGGCAGACGAUGGUGGUGGUGAGGCCAAUAGUUGGCUCUCUCUGUUUUUUGUUUUAUUAUUUUUUAUCUUUUGGGGCCGUACGCUUCUCUUGUUCGGUGCCUCCACACUGUUUCGCUUCUGCUGCUUGCCUGUUAUGAUGCAUGUGGGAAAACGUUGAACGCCCACAAUAAUAGAUGCUUUUUUCCUUUCAUUUCUUUGGCUUUGCUGUUAGUUGUCAUUGUGGUUAGGAAAUAGUUUUGUGGCCCGCAACGAGCGCUGGUUGCUGCGACCCCAGCAGAAUUUUGUGCAAUAAGCAAAAUGACGGGCACAAAACAAAAUGUCCGGCCGGAGUGGAGGUGCCCGCAACUUCCGCCGAUGGCGCUCUACAUGAUGAUCAUUCAGUUUCUCGCGACGCGCCGCGACGCCAAGCCAACGCCAUCUUAUCGUAAGUAGCAGUUAUAUGGCUCAUAGUCACAAUCGAAUGAAAUGGAUGGCAUGGCCCUGACGUUGGGGCAAUUUUCUGUUGGCCUGUGAUGUGAGCAAACAAAAUGACUACUCAAAAUUGAGCAAAAUGUUCGAGCGAUUGCAGUGAGUGGGUCGUGCGUAGGUAGGGUGCGGGAGGACGAGGCCGCCCGCUCGUUCUCCAUGGGUUUGCAUUAGAAAUUUUAGUUCAAACAAACAAUGUUUUCUGUUGCAAAGUACAAAAGCGGGAGAGUGAGAGUGAGAGAGAGCGCGACUUUGUGGGCGUGUAGCAUUGAGUUUUUGCCUUUGGCCGCCCCAGAGCUUGAUAUUCGCCAAUCUGAUGUGGCCCCAUCUGUUGGGCAAACCCAGAACUAGCCAUUCGUUUGGAUUCAAUUGCCCUUUUUUCCACCAUUUGUGUCGGUUGGAGGUGGAGUGCCAGUGCCAGUGCAUAUCUCCCACGGGAUUGUGCUCAAAAUUACCCUCCUUCUUAUAGUAGCAAGAGCUAGAGAGAGUGAGAACACAAGAGUGUGUUCUGUUCAAUUAACAGAUUUCAUUCUAAUAACCGUUAGUUUGUGGCUUUAAACUGCUGCAAUUUGUCAGGUUUUUGUAUGUGAGAAUUUCUUUGCUUCGCCAGCCCACGGACUCAUACCGUGGGCAUACACACACACACCAACGACCAGUCGUCACAUGGCAGUCCGUUAAAAACCCCUGCCACUGUGACACUAUUGCCAUCCCGCUCUAGCACACUGCGUGAGCGCACCAACGGCAAAGUGUGCAUUUGCGCUCUCCAUCGACGCUUGAAUUUGCUUCGAUUGCCGCCUGCUGUACUCUCUGGGCGCCUGGUGAAAAAGAGGGAAUUCACUUUUGGCGGGGUCUCGUUUUUCCUGGUUUGUCCAAUCGGCCUUUUGUGGGCGCUGCUGUCUGAAAUUGCCGCUCCGCCCGUCCAACAAAACACACACACGCUGUCGCACCCUCGCCCUCCGCCAGUCGCCAGUCCGAGCAGUGAUGGCAAAUUGUUGAUAAGCUGAUAACAAGGCGUCGACGGGCUUCAGGGGGCGGCUGGCAUGGCAUGGGAUUUUGGUUUGCCUCCCCUCGUCGUGUCCGUCUGACUGGCUGGAUUCUCUCUCUUGAAAAUAUACCGUUCUGUGUGAUUGUCUGCUGCUGCUGCUGCUGCUGUCUCUUUUCCAUUUUUAGGGGAGGUAGUUAGUAAUUUGCGUUAAAUGUGCAGCCCAGCAAAUUAAUUUGCACGGUAGGCGUGGUUGUAGGCCUCCGCCCACAUGCCCGUACAUAGCAAAAAGGCACGUGCCGUCUAUACCGAAUCGGAACAAAAGUUAUCCAAUUCCCACAGACUUUUAUACCGGUCGGCAUGAAAUUCGACAACGGCGACAAAGCGUCACAAAAACGAAACGAAAUCGCUCCAAAGCUGGGGAAAAAAAUUACCCCACAACACGCGCGGCGGCAUGUGCGGACGUGGCCGGGCCCCGUGGUGGUGGCGGACUUUUUCAGACACGUUCGGUUUUCGGUUCGGUUUCCACCAGGCGAACAGAAAUAACAGCAGGUCUUCCACCUGGUCAUGCAGGCCGGCUGGCAUCGGCAGAAACAUCAGUCGGACCGAGUACAAUGGGCCAGGCGGAAUAAUUUACCAUCAAACUUCUUGGCGAAUAAGACGAACAACUAUCAUUGCUACGAAAGGAAGGUUAGCUUUCAAUAUCUUGUUGACUUGUCUGACUUAUCAGAUCAGAUCUGGUCCACAUAGUAGUCCCCUACUACUGUGUAGUAUAUGUUAACCAGAUCAGGUGACUUGCUUCCAUAGGCCUUUUAGCCUUGCUCUUGUCAAUUUCGACCAAGUUUUAUAGUCGAUCCAAGCUUGGACGUUGGACAAGGGUUGGAAGAACGUUGCCAGAACUUGAGUAAGCCUUCAUCCUAAAUAACUAGCGACAUCCCCGCGCCCAUCAGAAAGAACACUCAAAUGGUGGCAUAAUAUGGAGACGGCGCUCACUUGUCAGGUCGCAAAAGUUCUCGAGCAGCGGUCCUGGGAAUGGUUUGCCGGUGGCAUUGUAAAUGCAUGUUAUCUGACUCUGUUUGCUUUGUUAACAAAACUUUCUUGGACAAAAAAUUGUUCUGAUUAAGAAAUUAUUUUUGUCCGAGAAUAAUACAUACCUUAUAAAAC
rnacentral:sRNA from 1 species